rnacentral:rRNA from 1 species
AUUGAACGCUGGCGGCAUGCUUUACACAUGCAAGUCGAACGGUAACAGGGUGCUUGCACCGCUGACGAGUGGCGAACGGGUGAGUAAUGCGUCGGAACGUGCCGAGUAGUGGGGGAUAACGCAGCGAAAGUUGUGCUAAUACCGCAUACGUACUGAGGUAGAAAGUGGGGGACCUUCGGGCCUCACGCUAUUCGAGCGGCCGACGUCUGAUUAGCUAGUAGGUGAGGUAAAGGCUCACCUAGGCGACGAUCAGUAGCGGGUCUGAGAGGAUGAUCCGCCACACUGGGACUGAGACACGGCCCAGACUCCUACGGGAGGCAGCAGUGGGGAAUUUUGGACAAUGGGCGAAAGCCUGAUCCAGCCAUGCCGCGUGUCUGAAGAAGGCCUUCGGGUUGUAAAGGACUUUUGUCAGGGAGGAAAUCCCUAGUGCUAAUAACACUGGGGGAUGACAGUACCUGAAGAAUAAGCACCGGCUAACUACGUGCCAGCCGCCGCCGUAACAC